rnacentral:rRNA from 1 species
AUUGAACGCUGGCGGCAGGCCUAACACAUGCAAGUCGAGCGGCAGCGGGGAAGUAGCUUGCUACUUUUGCCGGCGAGCGGCGGACGGGUGAGUAAUGCCUGGGAAAUUGCCCAGUCGAGGGGGAUAACAGUUGGAAACGACUGCUAAUACCGUAUAUGCCCUACGGGGGAAAGCAGGGGACCUUCGGGCCUUGCGCGAUUGGAUAUGCCCAGGUGGGAUUAGCUAGUUGGUGAGGUAAUGGCUCACCAAGGCGACGAUCCCUAGCUGGUCUGAGAGGAGGAUCAGCCACACUGGAACUGAGACACGGUCCAGACUCCUACGGGAGGCAGCAGUGGGGAAUAUUGCACAAUGGGGGAAACCCUGAUGCAGCCAUGCCGCGUGUGUGAAGAAGGCCUUCGGGUUGUAAAGCACUUCCAGCGAGGAGGAAAGGUCAGUAGCUAAUAUCUGCUGACUGUGACGUUACUCGCAGAAGAAGCACCGGCUAACUCCGUGCCAGCCGCCGCGGUAACAC